AGCGCGCCCCUCAGCCCGGGGAGGUGCAGACACCUGUUCGCUGUGUCUCGUCAGCUCAAUGCAAAAGAAACAUCUGAUGCAUGAAACAGACAGACACACAGGAAUGAUUUCCCCAGAACAAUAUCUGACGCUGGCAGCUGAGGUGAACUACUGGACCGAUUCCAAACCUUUUGGCUGUAGGUUGGCCAGGUUGGGUUCCAGGGUCAUGGUAGCAGUCAGACUGGCAGAUCCUCCCUCUGAAGCAAACACCGGCCCAAACUUCUCCAGGAAAGUGAUGUUGAUUUUGGUGUAAUGGAUCUUAGG